rnacentral:rRNA from 1 species
GGUGUCGUCAGCUCGUGCCGUGAGGUGUCGGGUUAAGUCCCCAUAACGAGCGCAACCCCUAUCAUUAGUUGCCAUCAGGUCAAGCUGGGGACUCUAAUGAAACUGCCUACGCAAGUAGUGAGGAAGGUGGGGAUGACGUCAAAUCAGCACGGCCCUUACGUCCAGGGCUACACACGUGCUACAAUGGCCGAUACAGAGGGCAGCUACCUGGUGACAGGAUGCAAAUCUCCAAAGUCGGUCUCAGUUCGGAUCGGAGUCUGCAACCCGACUCCGUGAAGUUGGAUUCGCUAGUAAUCGCGCAUCAGCCAUGGCGCGGUGAAUACGUUCCCGGGCCUU